AGCAGCAGCAGCAGCAGCAGCAGGAGCAGCAGCAGGAGCAGCAGCAGGAGCAGCAGGAGCAGCAGCAGGAGCAGCAGGAGCAGCAGGAGCAGCAGCAGCAGCAGGGACAGGAGCAGCAGCAGCAGCAGGAGCAGCAGGAGCAGCAGGAGCAGCAGCAGCAGCAGCAGGAGCAGCAGGAGCAGCAGCAGCAGCAGGAGCAGCAGCAGCAGCAGGAGCAGCAGGAGCAGCAGGAGCAGCAGGAGCAGCAGGAGCAGCAGCAGCAGCAGGAGCAGCAGCAGGAGCAGCAGCAGCAGCAGCAGCAGGAGCAGCAGCAGCAGCAGCAGGAGCAGCAGCAGGAGCAGCAGGAGCAGCAGCAGCAGCAGGAGCAGCGUUGCUAGCAUGGGUCCCUAGAACCAUCUGUGGUAAUUACAGUGUCCGUGCCAACGUCAUGGCGUGAGCAGCCUUCCUUGGGUGGCUUGGAUAACAAGUUCACAGUUACACAAUUGUCUCUAUGAUUGACUGAAUUGACUCAAAGAUUCUGAAAGCCUUCUGCAAUUUUCUUUUAAAAGUAAAGCUUUAUUUUUAUUUUAUGCA
rnacentral:lncRNA from 1 species